AUUUAUAUAGUUUAAUAUAAAACACUAUAUUUUCAUUAUAGAAAUAAAGAUCUUUAAUCUUUUAUAAAUA
rnacentral:tRNA from 1 species